rnacentral:lncRNA from 1 species
GUGUUCUGAGCCCCCACCCAUCCUCAGAGGUGCCCUCGAGGGAGAAAUAAUCCCCUCAUUUUGUUGAUGAGGAAACUGAGGCUCAAUGGGGUGAGGGGCUAGGAUUUGAACUCCUUUCCAUCUGGCCUCCAUGCCAAGCCCUUCCCAGGGCUGAUUUGUGUCUCCUCUCCCCAGCUCAUGUGUUGCAGUCCUAACCCCCCCCCGGUGCCUCAGAAUGUAACUGUAUUUGGAGAUAGGGUUUUAAAAGAGGUAAUUAAGUUAAAGUGAGGUUAUUAGAGUGGACCCUAAUCCAAUAGACUGAUAUCCUUAUAAGAAGAAGAGAUUAGGACGCAGACACGCACAGAGGAAAGAGCAGGUGAAGGGAGAAGACGGCCAUCUAUGGGUCAAGAAGAGAGGCCUCGAAAGAAACUGAUUCUGAAGAUACCUGGAUCUUGGACUUCUUGCUGGUAGAACUGCAAGGAAGUAAAUUUUUGCUAUUUCAGUCAUUCUGUCUGUGGGUCUUUGUGAUGGCAGCCCUGGAAAGCCAACAUGCUAUCCUAUUAUGUCGCCUCCCAGCAAUUCCAGGUCUUAGAUAGUAAGGGGCACACUGCCCUGGUACUUCAAGGCCCGGACCUACCAUCUCAGAUUUAAGAUGACACAGGGCUCCCCUGCGUUGGAAGCUCAGCACAUCUGGGCCACGCACCACCUUCUGCCUUGCCUUGGGAAUGAGCUUCUAGUACACACAGAAUAGGUCUUAAGAGAAAAGACUGAGGUCCCUCGAAGAUGAAGAAAUCCUCAUGAAGAUGAAUCCAAAGGCGGAUUCAAUUCUAGCUGUCUUUGGACUCAAGACUGCAACAUCAACACUUCCCAGGGUUGUGUUUCUCUGGAGAAUCCUGAUUAAUGCACGAAAGGUCAGGAUAAGUCUACUCCAAGGUAAAAUCUUUCUCAUGAUAUUUAAGACUUGAAAGGGGCUUCAGGAGACUCUCUGCGACAGCAUCUAGGAGUGACUCCCAGCCUGCCACCCUACACA